rnacentral:rRNA from 1 species
CCCCUAGAUGUUCUGGGCCGCACGCGCGCUACACUGAACAGUUCAACAAGUCUUAACCUUGGCCGAUAGGUCUGGGUAAUCUUUGAACGCUGUUCGUGAUUGGGAUAGACCUUUGCAAUUAUGGGUCUUCAACGAGGAAUUCCUAGUAAACGCAAGUCAUCAGCUUGCAUUGAUUACGUCCCUGCCCUUUGUACGCACCGCCCGUCGCACCUACCGAUUGAAUGGUCCGGUGAAAUCUCGGGACGGCGGCUUGGUCGCUUGCGUCCGACUGCUGAAACUUGAUUAAACCAUNUNAUUUAUNGGAAGGUGAANUCGUANCA